rnacentral:misc_RNA from 1 species
GUAAGAUUUCAAGGUUUUAGAUGACAGAAAAAGUAUCUACACGAAGUUGUCAACCAUAGUUAAAAUAGACUUUGAUUCCGUAAUACUGCUAUUUAUGAUUAAAGUUUAAUGAAGUUUGCAUUAUAAGUCCGAAUAAAAUGCCAUGAUCCAAACCCUAAAAUUUUGAUCAUAAGCAAGCCACACUUCUUUCUCAAAACCACUCGACUUUUGAUAUCAGCUUCCACUUCCUAUGUAGGGAAAGUCAUGGGGCUCUGCAACUUGAGAAGGUGUGAGAAAAGGGAAUUAUAGGGUUCUAUUUUGUGGCUUCAGACUUCAAAUCAUUGAAUUCUUGUUUCUCAGGUGCUAAUUUGGAGAAUUAGUAUGGACAAUAGAGGAUCAAGAAUUGACACCACAAUCAACCUUGAAUUUCCAUGAGUCUGUAGUAGUAUUUCCUAAAAUGAUAAAGUUCCA